GGGAGUGUCAAGAGUCCCACAUCUAAAGAAAUCAAGAAAUUCAAAGGGCUUAUAAGGGUGGAGGGCUAGCUAACUAAUUAGUUAGUUCUAAUUUUUUAGCAAUGGUUGGUCCAAAUCUAAGUAAGUUCAUCUCAUACUUCAGGGACUCUUGCCUCGGCUCACUCAUUCACUUUCGCCUAUUCAAUUUUAAGUUUGUGAUAAUUAAAAUAGGGCUACUACUCAUGGCCUUCUUUAAUUACUCAAAAGCAAUAUUGGUCUCCUUCAUCCAUUUGAAA
rnacentral:misc_RNA from 1 species